rnacentral:rRNA from 1 species
GACGAACGCUGGCGGCGUGCUUAACACAUGCCAGUCGAACGGAAAGGCCCUGCUUUUGUGGGGUGCUCGAGUGGCGAACGGGUGAGUAACACGUGAGUAACCUGCCCUUGACUUUGGGAUAACUUCAGGAAACUGGGGCUAAUACCGGAUAGGAGCUCCUGCUGCAUGGUGGGGGUUGGAAAGUUUCGGCGGUUGGGGAUGGACUCGCGGCUUAUCAGCUUGUUGGUGGGGGAGUGGCUUACCAAGGCUUUGACGGGUAGCCGGCCUGAGAGGGUGACCGGCCACAUUGGGACUGAGAUACGGCCCAGACUCCUACGGGAGGCAGCAGUGGGGAAUAUUGCACAACGGGCGGAAGCCUGAUGCAGCAACGCCGCGUGCGGGAUGACGGCCUUCGGGUUGUAAACCGCUUUCGCCUGUGACGAAGCGUGAGUGACGGUAAUGGGUAAAGAAGCACCGGCUAACUACGUG